GCUGUGAUACACUCAAUUUGUUAAGCAGUUUGAAUACGAUGGGGUGGACUGAAAAUCCACGUGUCCCCAGUUCGAUUCUGGGCCUCGGCACCA
rnacentral:tRNA from 1 species